UACGUAGGGUGCGAGCGUUGUCCGGAAUUAUUGGGCGUAAAGGGCUCGUAGGCGGUCUGUCGCGUCGGGGGGGAAAACUCAGGGCUUAACCCUGAGCCUGCUUCCGAUACGGGCAGACUAGAGGUAUGCAGGGGAGAACGGAAUUCCUGGUGUAGCGGUGGAAUGCGCAGAUAUCAGGAGGAACACCGGUGGCGAAGGCGGUUCUCUGGGCAUUACCUGACGCUGAGGAGCGAAAGCGUGGGGAGCGAACAGG
rnacentral:rRNA from 1 species